GACGAACGCUGGCGGCGUGCUUAACACAUGCAAGUCGAACGGAAAGGCCCUGCUUUUGUGGGGUGCUCGAGUGGCGAACGGGUGAGUAACACGUGAGUAACCUGCCCUUGACUUUGGGAUAACUUCAGGAAACUGGGGCUAAUACCGGAUAGGAGCUCCUGCUGCAUGGUGGGGGUUGGAAAGUUUCGGCGGUUGGGGAUGGACUCGCGGCUUAUCAGCUUGUUGGUGGGGUAGUGGCUUACCAAGGCUUUGACGGGUAGCCGGCCUGAGAGGGUGACCGGCCACAUUGGGACUGAGAUACGGCCCAGACUCCUACGGGAGGCAGCAGUGGGGAAUAUUGCACAGUGGGCGGAAGCCUGAUGCAGCAACGCCGCGUGCGGGAUGACGGCCUUCGGGUUGUAAACCGCUUUCGCCUGUGACGAAGCGUGAGUGACGGUAAUGGGUAAAGAAGCACCGGCUAACUACGUGCCAGCAGCCGCGGUGAUACGUAGGGUGCGAGCGUUGUCCGGAUUUACUGGGCGUAAAGGGCUCGUAGGUGGUUGAUCGCGUCGGAAGUGUAAUCUUGGGGCUUAACCCUGAGCGUGCUUUCGAUACGGGUUGACUUGAGGAAGGUAGGGGAGAAUGGAAUUCCUGGUGGAGCGGUGGAAUGCGCAGAUAUCAGGAGGAACACCAGUGGCGAAAGCGGUUCUCUGGGCCUUUCCUGACGCUGAGGAGCGAAAGCGUGGGGAGCGAACAGGCUUAGAUACCCUGGUAGUCCACGCUGUAAACGGUGGGUACUAGGUGUGGGGUCCAUUCCACGGGUUCCGUGCCGUAGCUAACGCUUUAAGUACCCCGCCUGGGGAGUACGGCCGCAAGGCUAAAACUCAAAGGAAUUGACGGGGCCCCGCACAAGCGGCGGAGCAUGCGGAUUAAUUCGAUGCAACGCGUAGAACCUUACCUGGGUUUGACAUGGAUCGGGAGUGCUCAGAGAUGGGUGUGCCUCUUUUGGGGUCGGUUCACAGGUGGUGCAUGGCUGUCGUCAGCUCGUGUCGUGAGAUGUUGGGUUAAGUCCCGCAACGAGCGCAACCCUUGUUCACUGUUGCCAGCACGUUAUGGUGGGGACUCAGUGGAGACCGCCGGGGUCAACUCGGAGGAAGGUGGGGAUGACGUCAAGUCAUCAUGCCCCUUAUGUCCAGGGCUUCACGCAUGCUACAAUGGCUGGUACAGAGAGUGGCGAGCCUGUGAGGGUGAGCGAAUCUCGGAAAGCCGGUCUCAGUUCGGAUUGGGGUCUGCAACUCGACCUCAUGAAGUCGGAGUCGCUAGUAAUCGCAGAUCAGCAACGCUGCGGUGAAUACGUUCCCGGGGCUUGUACACACCGCCCGUCAAGUCAUGAAAGUUGGUAACACCCGAAGCCGGUGGCCUAACCGUUGUGGGGGAGCCGUCGAAGG
rnacentral:rRNA from 1 species